UACGUAGGGUGCGAGCGUUGUCCGGAAUUAUUGGGCGUAAAGGGCUCGUAGGCGGUUUGUCGCGUCGGGAGUGAAAACCUCGGGCUUAACUCGGGGCUUGCUUUCGAUACGGGCAGACUAGAGGUAUGCAGGGGAGAACGGAAGUUCCUGGUGUAGCGGUGAAAUGACGCAGAUAUCAGGAGGAACACCGGUGGCGAAGGCGGUCUCUGGGCAUGAUCUGACGCUCGAGGAGCGAAAGUGUGGGGAGCGAACAGG
rnacentral:rRNA from 1 species